AAAGCGUGAAAUGUAAUGUGAAUUGCAGAACAUUGUGAAUCAUCGAAUCUUUGAACGUACAUUGCGCCUCCUGUUAAUGGGAGGCAUGUCUGUCUGAGCGUCAUUUAAAACAAUAACCUUUGGGUUGUAUUGGGAUUCGCCCUCGGGCGUGUCCUCAAAGUCAUCGUGUCUAAAAGCGUACGAGCUCCACUAGGACGGAACGUUUGAGGACCCUAAACUCUCUGACUUGAUCUCAGAUCAGGUAGGACUAUCGUCUGAACUUAA
rnacentral:misc_RNA from 1 species